GGAGGUCAGGGGCAGAGUAUCUGUCUUGCAUGCAGUAGGUCCCGGGUUCAAUCCCCAGCAUCUCCC